AUUGAACGCUGGCGGCAGGCCUAACACAUGCAAGUCGAACGAGUGGCGGACGGGUGAGUAAUGUCUGGGAAACUGCCUGAUGGAGGGGGAUAACUACUGGAAACGGUAGCUAAUACCGCAUACCAUCAGAUGUGCCCAGAUGGGAUUAGCUAGUAGGUGGGGUAACGGCUCACCUAGGCGACGAUCCCUAGCUGGUCUGAGAGGAUGACCAGCCACACUGGAACUGAGACACGGCCCAGACGCCUACGGGAGGCAGCAGUAGGGAAUCUUCGGCAAUGGACGGAAGUCUGACCGAGCAACGCCGCGUGUAUGAAGAAGGCCUUCGGGUUGUAAAGUACUUUCAGCGGGGAGGCGUUACCCGCAGAAGAAGCACCGGCUAACUCCGUGCCAGCAGCCGCGGUAAUUC
rnacentral:rRNA from 1 species